rnacentral:rRNA from 1 species
UAGGGAAUUUUCGGCAAUGGGCGAAAGCCUGACCGAGCAAUGCCGCGUGAAUGAUGAAAUUCUUCGGAAUGUAAAAUUCUGUUAUUAGGGAAGAAAGAUAUGCUUAGGAAAUGAGGUGUAUUUCACGGUACUUAAUGAGAAAGCCCCGGCUAACUAUGUGCCAGCAGCCGCGGUAAUACGGGGGGUGCAAGCGUUGUCCGGAAUCAUUGGGCGUAAAGCGUUCGUAGGCGGUAUGUCAAGUCUGGUGUUAAAGCCCGAGGCUCAACCUCGGUUCGGCAUUGGAUACUGGCAAACUAGAAUGUGGUAGAGGUAAAGGGAAUUCCUGGUGUAGCGGUGAAAUGCGUAGAUAUCAGGAGGAACAUCGGUGGCGAAAGCGCUUUACUGGACCAUUAUUGACGCUGAGGAACGAAAGCCAGGGGAGCAAAUG